CAGCCGCCACGGUAAUACGUAGGGUGCAAGCGUUAAUCGGAAUUACUGGGCGUAAAGCGUGCGCAGGCGGUGAGUUAAGUCUGCUGUGAAAUCCCCGGGCUCAACCUGGGAAUGGCAGUGGAUACUGGCUCGCUAGAGUGUGUCAGAGGAUGGUGGAAUUCCCGGUGUAGCGGUGAAAUGCGUAGAGAUCGGGAGGAACAUCAGUGGCGAAGGCGGCCAUCUGGGACAACACUGACGCUGAGGCACGAAAGCGUGGGGAGCAAACAGGAUUAGAUACCCCCGUAGUCCCUGUCUCUUAUAC
rnacentral:rRNA from 1 species